UCUAGUGCUCACUUUGACAACACAUGAACUAAAAUGACAAAGUAAAAUUUACCAUGGCCCCUGGGCAAGGAUGACAUUGCAAAUUUAUGACACAUCCCAUAUUUUU
ensembl:snRNA U6 U6 spliceosomal RNA